GGCCAGGUAGCUCAGUUGGUAGAGCAACGGACUGAAAAUCCGUGUGUCGCCGGUUCGAUCCCGGCCCUGGCCA
rnacentral:tRNA from 3 species